AUUAAUUUGAGAGUUUGAUCCUGGCUCAGGACGAACGCUGGCGGCGUGCCUAAUACAUGCA
rnacentral:rRNA from 1 species